rnacentral:lncRNA from 1 species
CGUUUCGGUUUGUCGAUUUUUUACGUUCGUCGCCGCUCGUGCGGUGGUUGUUUCGCUGCCGUUUCGGUAUGGUUGGUUGGUUGGUCGGUCUCCAGAAAACUCAGUGUGCUUGCGGCCGAUAGUCGCUGGGAAUACGCCGCGAUGCUAAGAACCGCGUACGCAAACGAAGUUGUCGCUGUUGUCGUUCAUGCGUUGUUGUUGCUGCCGCCGCCGCCGUCGUCGUCGUCGUUGUUGUUGUCGUUGUCACUAUCGGUAUCGUUGUAGUGUUGUUGUAUUGCGCCCACUAUCGUCGGUGUCGCCAUCACUUUGAACCAAUGUGGUGCGACGGAAAUGUGAAAUAAAGGGAAACAGUGAAAAGUGAAGGCACCAGUCGAGGCGCAAGGGGGCCAGCCAACACACCCGCACCCACACCCGAUUUCGAAGGAGCAAAACGCAGUGAAGCAUUGCGAGCGAAGUACAAGUGGCUGUGUGUGUGUGCAAAGUGGGUGGUUAACUGGUGAAUAUCCGCUCGCCACGUAAAAGCGGACUAGUCGCCCUAGACGGGGGUGAUUAAGACGCGGAUCUAGUAUACGUAUGCUUGGUAGUGGGUAACAGUAGUUUCAAACGAAAAAAAAAUGUGUGUGUGCUGUCCUUUUAGCAUCUAAUCCGUGGAUCGUUUUGGCUGGCAGCAAACAGUGCUUAGUAAGAUCGCUCAAUGUUCGGCUAAUGGUCGCCGGGACCAUUGACGCAGUGCGUCGCAGCGCGCUGCCUCGUCCAAUGAGUUUUAUGCGGGGUGAUGUAUGUGUAACACUACUAUGCGCUUAGGAAAGUUCGCGUUUUGUGUUAUACGUGUGUGUUCUUCAGCUUAACACCCCCUCAUACAUACAAAAGCAAGUGGCUAUAGCGUUCUUGAGCCUUUGACGUGGAAGUCUUGCCAAAUUUAAACGGUUGUGCGUGGCGAAAUGAAAAUGCUGAGCACUAAAAAUUGUGCUAAAAAUAUUGUCAUAAUAUUAAAAUAUGAAAAGUGAAAACAAAUUUUCCAUUUACUUGUUACUCUCUUUCAAUUGCAAAGCCAGUCUCUCAACCCACUUCUUCUUGGCUGUGGCAGUGUGCUUGAAAAUCGAAAUGUGUGUGGCAAUAUGUGAAAAGUUAUAAUUUUUUUAACUUUAAUAAAAUAAACGAAAACGAAAAUUAUAAUAAAAUAAAAUUAUAAUAAAAACCCAACAAAAAAAAAACAAAAAUUGCAACAAAAUACUUCGCAAUCAAAGCAAGUGACGUAAAAUGAAAAUCUUCAUACCCCACAGCAGCUCCACCAUCUUCUCCAUUGACCUCUACAUUUACGCUUCCCAUCGGUGAAUUUGCUGAUUUACUACGAUUACGUUGUGUGCUUCGCUUUUGGCAUAUUUCAUUGCUCGAGCUCGACUAUGUCCUUGCUCGGCGCGUUAAUUGUUCGUAGAAAUUUUACUGAAUUCAAGCGAAAAAUAUUUGCGUCGCUCCAAGUGAAAUAAAAUGUGACAAACAAGUGCAAUAAACAGGCUAAAACGUGAAGAAUCACAGGCGUUAAGGCGGAAAUUCAGUAUUUUUAUUCAAAAAA